GCAGUGGUGGUUCGGUGGUUGAAUUGUCGACUUCCACGCGGAGGCCCAGGUUCAAUUCCUGGCCAAUGUA
rnacentral:tRNA from 1 species